rnacentral:antisense_RNA from 1 species
CUUCACCGACCCCAACCACAACGGACGACCCUCAUCACGACCCUGCCCAUACGCCGCAAUCAACGCCUGCGCCUC